rnacentral:rRNA from 1 species
CCUACGGGGGGCAGCAGUGGGGAAUAUUGGUCAAUGGGCGCAAGCCUGACCCAGCCACGCCGCGUGAAGGAUGAAGGCUUUCGGGUUGUAAACUUCUUUUAAGAGGGAAGAGCAGAAGACGGUACCUCUUGAAUAAGCCACGGCUAACUACGUGCCAGCAGCCGCGGUAAUACGUAGGUGGCACGCGUUGUCCGGAUUUACUGGGUGUAAAGGGCGUGCAGCCGGGAAGACAAGUCAGAUGUGAAAUCCCGCGGCUCCACCGCGGAACUGCAUUUGAACCUGUUUUUCUUGAGUACCGGAGAGGUAUGCGGAAUGCCUGGUGUAGCGGUGAAAUGCGUAGAUAUAAGGAAGAACACCAGUGGCGAAGGCGGAAGACUGGACGGCAACUGACGGUGAGGCGCGAAAGCGUGGGGAGCAAACAGGAUUAGAUACCCGUGUAGUC